GUGGACACCGUUCUGAGGAGUUGGGACGGAACGGGCGACGGUGCGGGUGCCCCUCCUCUCGGCAAGCAGAGGAAUUGGAAAAACUGCGGAGAAACGAACCUUCUUGCUGCGCUUUCCCACAACACGUCCCCGGAGGAAGAGGAACAGAACGGGAGAAAUCAGCGAUUUCCAUGCGUUCCCUCCCCGACACCCACUGGCCCCGUGGCGGGGGGUCUGAACAGCGGCCUCGCAAGAAGGAAUCCGAUCUGCAUCCCGAUUGGUCGCCUACUGGGCUGCAGUGAGGUCGGCGGUGGAGGGGAGAAAACCGGCAGGAAGGCGAAUCCCGCGAGCACGCAGGUACCGGUGGAGGGGAAAAGAGUGGAUGAGCAGGAGUGAAGGCGCAAGGCAGCGACGAGACUUCAAGAUGUGAGGACUCUGGGGGCUUCUGAAACUGCCCAGUCGCACAUGAUGAAAGGUUCCGAGGCGACAAACGCCGUGAUUGCGUGCGGGUGGGACUGUAUCUUGAAGCCGACAGCUGACGGUCAGCUGGUGGCCGUUGAGGAGAAACCGCGCGGCCGAUGGUGUGUGAUAAUGAACAUUUUUCGUCCGAACCGACGCGUGUUGCGCAGCAGCGUGAACGUCCUGGAGAGUGGGCUCGGAUAGGUUUCAGUUGCUUUCCUCCGAUGAUGGAAAUUCCUGGCCGGUAAGAGUCGGUCACCCGCACACGCGCAGCGCCACGGGGUAUGUCCACCGCUCCGCCACGCAAGAUGCCACUCUCAUAUGAGCUUUCGCCGGGGUACGAGAGCUGGACGUCGCGUCGAGGCGACUGCCGUCGUCGAGACGAAUCCAGUUCAGAGUAGCUGUACUGGGUACGCGGGCGAUUUGAAGCUCCAGUUUUGUCCAAGCCAUAGGGAGUUCGAUGUGUCCGAGAUGGAGAGGUGGGGCGUGGCGGAGCAUAUCGAGAAGGCGACAAAGAGAAAUCGGGAAAUGUUGACUCGGUACGGCUGUUGUAGGAACUCCGUGGAUUCUCGACACUCUUCAUGUCUUGCGGCAGCGAUCGAGACGCCUUGGAACCGUAGUUCCGCGAGGGCGAAGAGGAAAAGUCCCCGCGAGAACGACUGGACUCACAAAUGUCACGGUGCCUAGAGUGGUUGCGGGAUGAAGGCGAGGGGGUCCGAGAGCUCCGGUGGUGCCCGUGAUGGUGACGCUUGGAGUGUCUGUGGUGAGGACUGUGAGACGCGUGAUGGCGGCUACUGUGAAACGUUUGAAUGUCUACGCCGGACAUCUGCCGGCUACGGUGCUGGGGCCCACCACGACUCCGAGACAGCGACCGGUGGAUAUCCCGAGAAGAGUAGUGGUGUGUCCGACGGUGAGCGCUGCUAGCACGACUUCCAGAGGAAUGGUGCCGGCUCGGCGAAGAUGAAUGCUGUUUGCUCGCGCGGUCUUCCGAGGGCGGAGCAGUUAAAGCUACAAUCGGUACAUACGUGCCGUCAGUGAGUCGCCGCUGCUGGCUCGUUGAGGCGCCUCCGAGGAGCAGGACGGUAUUGGGAGAGUUGCGGAAGGGUGCCUGGCUUGUUAACGAUCGGGAGAGACGGUUCGUCCCUGGGGAACGCGAAGAACGCCCGUGUUCAGUUGGCUGAGGAUUCAUCGAAUAGGCACGAUGCAGAGGCCUUGGGACUGAGAGAGGUUUGGCGUCGAAGGCAGCGAACGGCGAUCCUGGUCUGGACCCACCCCGAGAAGACACGCGCUGAGACUCUUUUCUCCGCAGAGACGCGGGAGACACUUCAUGUCGAGGAGAAAUGUGAUUUUCUUGGCGCGACCCAAGGGAGUGGUUUUUAGAUUGAGAAGAAAAGGGAACGACCGGGAGUGGCGGCGCUCCCUUUACCACAUCUUUGCGCAACGGAGGUGACGAGCGGUCCUGGCGUGGAAGCGCGCGACCUCCGUGCUGCGUUGGUGGGGCUGACCCCCAACGCUCCAUUCCGGCCUGCGGAGAAAAGCAAAAACAAAACCAAAAUUCGCCCCGUAGAUACAACGUCUCUAUUAACGGAAAAGGGAGGAACGGAAGAGACAACAACUAGUCAGAGGUGAGAACCUGCUUGGUGAAUCGCCUGCACAUCCGUGCCAUGUUCUAGACACUUACUACUCCUAACACCCGCCAGAAAAUGCAUUCAGCAACAGACCUCUCUAGUGUUUUAAAAGUGUCCGAGCACAUAUGCUACCUGCCCCAUCGUUGGGCCCGCAACUAGGCUCGAAAACACAUAUGUGCGGAUGUCCCCGAAAAGAAAGCUUUAAGCAUUGGUACACCAAAAUAGAGACGCGGCUCUGUACAAGACACAAGAUCACUCUGUAUCGCGUUGAGUUCGUGCAACUCUACUCAUGUCCUCAUGGUAAGCGGUCUGGUAUUUUCAGUCCCGCUUUGAAAGAACGGCAAACCGUCUCUCAGGCUCCGCUCUCGUGGCCACUACCCUCUCGUUAUAAACACGAAACAGUCAUAUAACAAAAGGGCUGAAAUGCAGGUGAAAGCAGCCAAUCACACAAGUCGUUCAGUCGAACCAAGAUUGCGGCAGCUGACCGUUCGAGAGGAGGCGCGCUGAUGACGGGGGUCGAUGCGUCUCGUCAGUGCUCGUGCUAAAGGGAUGUUUACGUCAAGCCUGUGUGCUUGAGGGUGGAACGAGAUUCCCUUUGGAAAUAUUCCAGUCAGCAGAGGACAAGAAGCCCGAUACUUUGCCCGCGUGUGCUGCAAGUCUUCUCUUGACACUGUUCUUCCUGCGGCCGUCUAUAACUGUCGAUACCCCCCCGCAACAGCGAGGUUGUCUUCGAACUGGGGGCCAGGCGGACCGCAUCAGAGGUCUCGUCAGUGCCUUUUUCAGCGCCGGAGUUCUCCUGAAACACUGCAAGCUUUCCGCCAAAUUUUCCCCCGGGACAAAUUUUUUCUGCGAACUCUGUGCCGGGACACUGCAACUUUUCCC
rnacentral:lncRNA from 1 species